GAUGAACGCUGGCGGCGUGCCUAAUACAUGCAAGUCGAGCGAACAGACGAGGAGCUUGCUUCUCUGAUGUUAGCGGCGGACGGGUGAGUAACACGUGGAUAACCUACCUAUAAGACUGGGAUAACUUCGGGAAACCGGAGCUAAUACCGGAUAAUAUAUUGAACCGCAUGGUUCAAUAGUGAAAGACGGUUUUGCUGUCACUUAUAGAUGGAUCCGCGCUGCAUUAGCUAGUUGGUAAGGUAACGGCUUACCAAGGCAACGAUGCAUAGCCGACCUGAGAGGGUGAUCGGCCACACUGGAACUGAGACACGGUCCAGACUCCUACGGGAGGCAGCAGUAGGGAAUCUUCCGCAAUGGGCGAAAGCCUGACGGAGCAACGCCGCGUGAGUGAUGAAGGUCUUCGGAUCGUAAAACUCUGUUAUUAGGGAAGAACAAAUGUGUAAGUAACUGUGCACAUCUUGACGGUACCUAAUCAGAAAGCCACGGCUAACUACGUG
rnacentral:rRNA from 1 species